ACAGGGGAAGGAAUGUGGCUCAGUGGGAGAGCAUCUGCUUUGCAUGCAGAAGGUCUCAGGUUCAAUCCCCGGUAAUGACCCCUGCU